CCUGAACCCACAGAGUAACCAGCUGAGCAGCACAGGACCACACACAGUCUCACUAAGGUGGUUGGCUGGAGGCUAACAGAGGAGACUGGGAGGCCAUCUUGGAUUCCCAGACCGGUGAAGCCAAGGGCCUGGGGGACGGCAUCACUGAGCAGGCCAGUACCAGAGGCGACAUAGUGGAGCACCACCUGAAGGGGCACCACAGAGUCCACUCAGGGGGAAAACCCUACAGCUGCCAACAGUGGGAGAAGAGGAUCUCUCACCAGGACCAGCUGAAGAUGCACCUGAA